UAUAAUAAUUAUCAGUACCUCAGUCCUGAUCAAUAUUUUGAUUUGAUGACAAAAGUUCGUCCACUUUGUUGCGCCAGUAUCUCGGUUGUAAAUUGUCGAUUUGUGGAGCUAAAUCUAGAUGGCCUCCCAUGUCAGCAGAAUUUUUCACCUAAUCAAAGGUGUAAUAAAUUUUAAAGUUAAUUAUACUUACUGGUUGUUAGUAUCAUUAUUUUCGCUUCAAUUGUGAAAAAGGAAAGACCACAUAAGUAUACUAAUGCAAUUCUAUUACUGCUUAAUCGUUAUCAUUGUUGCUCUCACGAUUGUGGGUGAAUCAUUUGGUCAAACAUCACGACCGACCUAAAGGAUAACCCCACCAUGGUUGCGACCACGAACCCCAUCACCAAGGCGAUCCCCACCACGAGGUUGAUGGACUUUGCCUACCAUUAACUGUUGUCCAAUUGACGCAACGUCGAAUUCCCAUAAUACAUAAACUAAACCUAACUAAAUACAAUAUUCACAAAAAUAUAA